rnacentral:piRNA from 1 species
UGAUCACUUAGUACUGGUUGGAUGCCAAC